ensembl:snRNA U12 U12 minor spliceosomal RNA
CUGUCCCCCCCCAAAAUUAAUCAUUUGGGGUGACGCCUGAAUCCUCACUGCUAAUGUGAGAUGAAUUUUUGAGCGGGUAAAGGUUACCCCUAAGGUGACAAGCCUACUUUGUGGGAUGCCUGGGUGUUGUGAUCUGCCUG